UACGAAGGGGGCUAGCGUUGCUCGGAAUGACUGGGCGUAAAGGGCGCGUAGGCGGUUUGUAUAGUCAGACGUGAAAUUCCUGGGCUUAACCUGGGGGCUGCGUUUGAUACGUGCAGACUUGAGUGAGGAAGAGGGUUGUGGAAUUCCCAGUGUAGAGGUGAAAUUCGUAGAUAUCGUAAGGAAGACCAGUGGCGAAGGCGAAUCUCUGGACAGUUACUGACACUGAGGCACGAAGGCCAGGGGAGCAAACGGG
rnacentral:rRNA from 1 species